rnacentral:rRNA from 1 species
CCUACGGGAGGCAGCAGUGGGGAAUAUUGGGCAAUGGGCGCAAGCCUGACCCAGCCACGCCGCGUGAAGGAAGAAGGCUUUCGGGUUGUAAACUUCUUUUCUCAGGGACGAAGCAUGUGACGGUACCUGAGGAAUAAGCCACGGCUAACUACGUGCCAGCAGCCGCGGUAAUACGUAGGUGGCAAGCGUUAUCCGGAUUUACUGGGUGUAAAGGGAGUGUAGGCGGGACUGCAAGUCAGAUGUGAAAACGACGGGCUCAACCUGUAGCCUGCAUUUGACACUGUAGUUCUUGAGUACUGGGGAGGCAGACGGAAUUCCUGGUGUAGCGGUGAAAUGCGUAGAUAUUAGGAGGAACACCGGUGGCGAAGGCGGUCUGCUGGACAGCAACUGACGCUGAGGCGCGAAAGCGUGGGGAGCAAACAGGAUUAGAUACCCUAGUAGUC